UAAAUAAAUAAAUCAGAUCAUACUGUAUAGCCUAUGUCUGUGGACACAUUUCACCACCGCUGAAGUGUCCUCUUUUUCACAAACUCAAAUCUGGUCACCCUACGUAUAAUAAACCGUGAUAUAUACCGUAACCGUGAUAUAAAAUUACAAAUACUGUGAUAGAAGAUUUUGGCCAUAUCGCCCACCCCUAUCUGCGCCUAUGAGGGAGGACCUUGUGCGGCAGAAUGCUCUGGCUAUGGUCCGGAGCUGGCGGAGGUGCUAUGAGACUACAUCCUGCAGUUUGGAAAGUAUAAAGUUUUGCAGAGAUCCUGUCUCUUCUCAACUAUGAGGCCGGUGGAGUGGGUGUUGUGGCAUCCUCAUCAGAAGACGAGCAGCUGGUUGGCUUUGGCUCUCAGGCCAAGAUAUUGGAUAACAGAGCUGAUGGCUAUGCAGACUUCGCCAUGGGGAAGAGCCUUGAUGUCUUGGUCAAGAUUCACAGAGUGGUGUUCUUACCAGGGAAAAUUAGUGUUGUGUUCUGCAAGGGACCACUCGGAUUUCUCCUCCAAGAGCCGUCUGAAGAAGCCAGGCAGAUUAAGGACGACAUCACUCUGCAGAAGGAGUCUACUCCUAUGAUACAACUGCUCAACUGCAGGCAUCAUCAGUUGAUGCUCCAGCCUAACCAGGUGUGAAAAGUUUAGCAGUGCACCAGCAGAGAGCAGAUGGCCACUGAAUUGUUCCAGGCCCAGGGCAUGACCGGGGGGGCACGAUGGAACUACCAACGGCUGGUGGACCUCAAGCAGCCAGGCGUCAUACUCCCUGCUUUGCUUGAUCCAGGUUUAAUAGUGGAGUUGAACUCUGCCUCCAAGAGAGUGACUGGGCAAGACAAGUACCCUGCACUCCACCUCUCUGACACAGACACCGGAGAGGGGUUUGGACUGGAGUACCAAGAACCAGGAUGCCGUCCAGUCCCUCUGGAUUGGGGCAAACACAGAACACAAAAGAGAGAUGAACCUGCUGCUCUUAUGCCUCCGUCCCGUGUGCAGGCACCCGGUCCAGCCCAAGCCCCAGGAGUGACACCCCCCUCCAGCUGGACGCCACUCUCUGGCACACCAUCCCCUGGACCAGCACCAUCCUCCAGCUGGACACCGCUCUCUGGCACACCAUCCCCUGGACCAGCACCAUCCGUUGGCUAUCCGCUCUCUGCUGGUGCACUGCUAAAGCAGGAGAUGCCAACAGACGACCACCAGGAACCUCCUGCAGCAGUGGAACUCUCAUAUGCCCUACCCCAGCGGUCCUUGCUGAGGAGUGCCCACACUGGACCCAUUAAGUAAGGUGGACAGGUUUUUGUGUAAGACCACACACGCUGGACGCCACCCAUGAAAAAUGCUGUUGACGGCUUGAUGCAGAAAUACCAUGGGGAGAAGGACAUGCUGAAGCUUGUGGAUCAAGAUUAUGCAGACAUGGUCCAUCGGUCUGCCACCAAUCCCAACAGUUUACUGCACCCCACAACCAGGCUACACAUAUCCCGCUAUGUGAAGCACCUGGCAAAACUCCUUAACAUAAUUUCUUCUUUGAACACGAGCCAGGAAACUCUUCUGCUGACGCAACAUCUGUGGCACUCGUUAACAGAGGGUAGUGAGACGGCUACUGUUCCUGUGGUCACUAUGGGGCUGGCUACUGUCAAUCCACCUGCACCUGUCCUGUCCACACCUCUGUCACAAGAAUCAAUAGAGAAUAUUGUGGAGGGCAUCUUGGAGCAGCAGCCGCAACAGCACCAGCAGAAGAGUAGACAGACAGACCUGUCGUGCCUGUGGACAGCCCAAGUCUCAAAAAGUCUCAGACUGAUGGAUCCUCCAUCCACUUCUUCUACCACCAAGGGCCUGUGCGCUAUUUCUAUUGCUCUAAAAGGGUGCAUCAAAGUUAUGCUGAUGAGGGACUCUCAGACCCCAAAAUGCCCUUGCACAGAUAGAGUUCUUCCAGAGGGAGCUGGAGGCGACCAGGAAAUGGGUGGAGGAUAAGAGAGAUAAAAAGAGGAAAAGACCAAACUCACAACAAACAGGCCGCAUCUGCAGAUUCUGCCACAUGGACCUGAAACGGGGACCAGACAGCCCACAC
ensembl:lncRNA